AGCAGCCGCGGUAAUUCCAGCUCCAAUAGCGUAUAUUAAAGUUGUUGCAGUUAAAAAGCUCGUAGUUGAAUUUCGGGAUCAAUAUAUCGGUCGUGCCUUUGGUACGUACUGGUAUCAUUGAUUUCUCCUUUCUGACGAAUCAUGAUGUCAUUAAUUUGGUGUUAUGAGGAGUUAGGACUGUUACUUUGAAAAAAAUUAGAGUGUUUAAAGCAGGCAUUAGCUUGAAUACAUUAGCAUGGAAUAAUGAAAUAGGACGUUUGACCCUAUUUUGUUGGUUUUUAGGAUCGACGUAAUGAUUAAUAGGGAUAGUUGGGGGCAUUAGUAUUCAAUUGUCAGAGGUGAAAUUCUUGGAUUUAUUGAAGACCAACUACUGCGAAAGCAUUUGCCAAGGAUGUUUUCAUUAAUCAAGAACGAAAGUUAGGGGAUCGAAGACGAUCAGAUACCGUCGUAGUCUUAACCAUAAACUAUGCCGACUAGGGAUCGGAUGAUGUUAAUUUUUUAAUGACUCAUUCGGCGCCUU
rnacentral:rRNA from 1 species